UCCUACGGGAGGCAGCAGUGGGGGAUAUUGGACAAUGGGCGGAAGCCUGAUCCAGCGACGCCGCGUGGAGGACGAAGCCCUUCGGGGUGUAAACUCCUUUUGUCGGGGAAAAAGGACUGAUGGUACCCGACGAAUAAGCCCCGGCUAACUACGUGCCAGCAGCCGCGGUAAUACGUAGGGGGCGAGCGUUACCCGGAAUCACUGGGCGUAAAGGGUGCGUAGGCGGCCGCGUGUGUCUGGCGUAAAAUACCACGGCUCAACCGUGGGAAUGCGCUGGAAACUACGUGGCUUGGGUGCGGCAGAGGCAGACGGAACUGCUGGUGUAGGGGUGAAAUCCGUAGAUAUCAGCAGGAACGCCGGUGGAGAAGUCGGUCUGCUGGGCCGUAACCGACGCUGAGGCACGAAAGCUAGGGGAGCGAACCGGAUUAGAUACCCGGGUAGUCCUAGCCGUAAACGAUGCUCACUAGGUGUGGGGGC
rnacentral:rRNA from 1 species